rnacentral:rRNA from 1 species
UGAGGAANAUUGGUCAAUGGGCGCGAGCCUGAACCAGCCAAGUAGCGUGCAGGAUGACGGCCCUAUGGGUUGUAAACUGCUUUUGUAUGGGGAUAAAGUCAAUCACGUGUGAUUGUUUGCAGGUACCAUACGAAUAAGGACCGGCUAAUUCCGUGCCAGCAGCCGCGGUAAUACGGAAGGUCCGGGCGUUAUCCGGAUUUAUUGGGUUUAAAGGGAGCGUAGGCCGGAGAUUAAGUGUGUUGUGAAAUGUAGACGCUCAACGUCUGACUUGCAGCGCAUACUGGUUUCCUUGAGUACGCACAACGUUGGCGGAAUUCGUCGUGUAGCGGUGAAAUGCUUAGAUAUGACGAAGAACUCCGAUUGCGAAGGCAGCUGACGGGAGCGCAACUGACGCUUAAGCUCGAAGGUGCAGGUAUCGAACAGGAUUAGAUACCCUGGUAGUCCGCACAGUANCGAUGGAUGCCCGCUGUUGGUACCUGGUAUCAGCGGCUAANCGAAAGCAUUAAGCAUCCCACCUGGGGAGUACGCCGGCNACGGU